rnacentral:rRNA from 1 species
UACGUAGGGGGCAAGCGUUGUCCGGAAUUAUUGGGCGUAAAGCGCGCGCAGGCGGCUGUUUAAGUCUGGUGUUUAAACCUAGGGCUCAACCUUGGGUCGCACUGGAAACUGGGCAGCUUGAGUGCAGAAGAGGAAAGUGGAAUUCCACGUGUAGCGGUGAAAUGCGUAGAGAUGUGGAGGAACACCAGUGGCGAAGGCGACUUUCUGGGCUGUAACUGACGCUGAGGCGCGAAAGCGUGGGGAGCAAACAGG